UCAGGUUGAUGAAAACAGAAGAAAGGGACUGGUCAGAACCCAGAAAGAAUGGAAGGGCCCUAGCUGUAUUCCCUACCCUGCCACCCACUGUUCCAGCAUCAGCACAAAAUCACAUCCCCUAAGUGCUAUCAAGAGGUCACCUCAGCUGCUCCUUCCACUCUUCUGAGACCACAUGCCAGUAAUCUUGGUUGGGCAUUUUCCUCUUUCUUUCCUGUAAACUUAUUUUAAAAACCUAGACCUUAGGACUCUGGAACUCCUUUUCCUUCUAACUGAAGAGACACAAUGCCUCAGUGGAUAUGAGAGUCAUUUAACGAUCUUUCUUUUCCUUCCAUUCACUGAGCCGAGGUCCACAGAGGAAGCCGAGAGGAAUUCACAUUUGGCUCUCAGGGUUAUAUCACCUUCCCUCAGCACGUCCCUCAAAGGCCCCUGGGUGAUACGCCCACCUCAAAACUAUCUCACUCCUCGAGCCUGAGAUCUGGGAGACACUGGGAAAAGUGGGUGAAGUCAACAAGCUGGAUGGCCCUUAGAAGCUUCCAUUCCUCAGGACUGAGAGAUCCAGAAACUCCAUUCCUGAGCUCGGGCUGGGACCCACUCACGCUUCCAGUCCAGGGUCCCUGCAUCUAAGGGGCCACUUGAUGUACUGAGGCCCCAGGGACCGUCAGGCAUCGAGCUCCCAAACCAGCCAUGUUCAGAUAGAAUCCAAAGCCCUGUGCAGAGAAGCCCGGUCAGGUCUGGCAGGGCCCUCGCUCAGAAGCCCCCAACCCAGCGAGCCGCCCAUCAGCCCGCUGACGGAACUCGGCUCACCGGCCACUGAAGAAAUCCCUACCUGACCCGCCGAUCAGCCCGAAACUUCAACAUCCUUUUGGCAGCUCUGUCCCCUGUUCGGCAGCCUCAGAGGACCUGCCAGCCACCCUGCUCCUACCAUCCCUCUGAGAAGCCACAGUCAUUUCCAAAAGGGCAGGAAUAGGGCGUCCUCUGCCAAGCAAGCUUGGAAUGUCCUGAAAUGCUAGGCCACUGGGCUGAGCGGCUAAAAGUGAUGACGACGGCGACGACGAUGACGAUUUUACUUUAUGUGAUUCCAUUCAUCUU